rnacentral:tRNA from 2 species
GCUGCUGUAGCUCAGUUGGUAGAGCGCGUCCUUGGUAAGGACGAGGCCAUGGGUUCAAGUCCCAUCAGCAGCU